UCCCUGGUGGUCCAGUGGUUAGGACUCCAUGCUUUCACUGCUAUGACCUGGGUUCAAUCCCUGGUCAGGGAA
rnacentral:tRNA from 1 species